CCAAUAGCGUAUAUUAAAGUUGUUGCAGUUAAAAAGCUCGUAGUUGAAUUUCAGGCCUGGCUGGACGGUCCGCCCUUCGGGUGAGUACUGUCUGUGGUCGGGUCCUACCUUCUGGCGAAGCGUCAUGGCCUUAACCGGCUGUGGCGGGGAACCAGGCCUUUUACUGUGAAAAAAUUAGAGUGUUCAAAGCAGGCAAUCGCUUGGAUACAUUAGCAUGGAAUAAUGGAAUAGGACAAUGGUUCUAUUUGUUGGUUUCUAGGACCGUUGUAAUGAUUAAUAGGGAUAGUUGGGGGAAUUAGUAUUCAAUUGUCAGAGGUGAAAUUCUGGGAUUUAUUGAAGACUAACUACUGCGAAAGCAUUUGCCAAGGAUGUUUUCAUUAAUCAAGAACGAAAGGUAGGGGAUCGAAGACGAUCAGAUACCGUCGUAGUCUUAACCAUAAACUAUGCCGACUAGGAAUCGGGCGAUGUUGAAAAAAUGACGCGCUCGGCACCUCAUG
rnacentral:rRNA from 1 species